rnacentral:hammerhead_ribozyme from 1 species
GCACAGUUGUGGAGUCCCACAAUAGGACGAAACGGCCGUCCAGUGC